AUGAACGCUGGCGGCGUGCCUAAUACCUGCAAGUCGAGCGAACGGACGAGAAGCUUGCUUCUCUGAUGUUAGCGGCGGACGGGUGAGUAACACGUGGAUAACCUACCUAUAAGACUGGGAUAACUUCGGGAAACCGGAGCUAAUACCGGAUAAUAUUUUGAACCGCAUGGUUCAAAAGUGAAAGACGGUCUUGCUGUCACUUAUAGAUGGAUCCGCGCUGCAUUAGCUAGUUGGUAAGGUAACGGCUUACCAAGGCAACGAUGCAUAGCCGACCUGAGAGGGUGAUCGGCCACACUGGAACUGAGACACGGUCCAGACUCCUACGGGAGGCAGCAGUAGGGAAUCUUCCGCAAUGGGCGAAAGCCUGACGGAGCAACGCCGCGUGAGUGAUGAAGGUCUUCGGAUCGUAAAACUCUGUUAUUAGGGAAGAACAUAUGUGUAAGUAACUGUGCACAUCUUGACGGUACCUAAUCAGAAAGCCACGGCUAACUACG
rnacentral:rRNA from 1 species